AUAACAAUUUGUGAUGCUUUAGGGAGCCUAUUGUUUGAUGGUUUAUAGGAGCCAGAUUUGUCUCUUUGACUAAUUUUCAACCUAUUCUUACUUCCAAAACUGUUGCAAUGGCUCUCGUUUUUGUUAAAUUUUUCUCUUUUCUCUUCUUUGGCAUAGUUUAUUUUUAAUAAAUUAUUUCAGGGUGAGAUAGAGAAAGAAUAAUGAGUAUCGUAGAUAAAUCUUCGGUUCCGAAUAGUGUAACUGUUGGUGCUGAGGUAAUCCAUCUUUAAAACCAUCGCCGUUAGAGGUUGCUUCUGAUAUUUUCGGUUAAGCGACCCAUGAAAUGGUGAUGACCUGAGGUAUGGAACAUCU
rnacentral:snoRNA from 1 species